rnacentral:rRNA from 1 species
GAUGAACGCUGGCGGCGUGCCUAAUACAUGCAAGUCGAGCGCACGGGCGAGAAGCUUGCUUUUCUGAUGUUAGCGGCGGACGGGUGAGUAACACGUGGGUAACCUACCUAUAAGACUGGGAUAACUUCGGGAAACCGGAUCUAAUACCGGAUAAUAUUUUGAACCGCAUGGUUCUGAAGUGAAAGGCGUUCUUUGUGUCUGUUAUGGCUGACGCCCCGCUGCAUUAUCUGGUUGGUAAGGUAACGGCUUACCAAGGCAACGAUGCCUAGCCGACCUGAUAGGGGGAUAGCCCACCCGGGAACUGAGCCAGCGACCAGAGUCCUACGGGAGGGCGCAGUAUGGAACCUUAGGCAACGGGCGAAAGCAUUACGGAGCAACGCCGAGCCAGUGAUGACGGUGCCCCGAGCGGAAAACCCUGUUACGAGGGAAGAACAUAUGUGAAAGUAAAUGUGGCCAUCGUGACGGUACCUACACAGAAAGCGACGGCUAACUACGUG